rnacentral:rRNA from 1 species
AUUGAACGCUGGCGGCAUGCUUUACACAUGCAAGUCGAACGGUAACAGGCCUUCGGGUGCUGACGAGUGGCGAACGGGUGAGUAAUGCAUCGGAACGUGCCCAGAGGUGGGGGAUAACGCAGCGAAAGCUGUGCUAAUACCGCAUGUGAUCUGAGGUUGAAAGCGGGGGACCAGGCAGCAAUGUUUGGCCUCGCGCCUUUGGAGCGGCCGAUGUCAGAUUAGGUAGUUGGUGGGGUAAAGGCCUACCAAGCCGACGAUCUGUAGCUGGUCUGAGAGGACGACCAGCCACACUGGGACUGAGACACGGCCCAGACUCCUACGGGAGGCAGCAGUGGGGAAUUUUGGACAAUGGGCGCAAGCCUGAUCCAGCAAUGCCGCGUGCGGGAAGAAGGCCUUCGGGUUGUAAACCGCUUUUGUACGGAACGAAAAGGCUCUGGCUAAUACCUGGGGCUGAUGACGGUACCGUAAGAAUAAGCACCGGCUAACUACGUG